AUUGGACAUGGGCGCGAGCCUGAUCCAGCCAUGCCGCGUGCAGGAAGACUGCCCUAUGGGUUGUAAACUGCCUUUAUACGGGAAGAAACCCACCUACGUGUAGGUGGCUGACGGUACCGUAAGAAUAAGCAUCGGCUAACUCCGUGCCAGCAGCCGCGGUAAUACGGAGGAUGCAAGCGUUAUCCGGAAUCAUUGGGUUUAAAGGGUCCGUAGGUGGACAAUUAAGUCAGAGGUGAAAUCCUGCAGCUCAACUGUAGAAUUGCCUUUGAUACUGGUUGUCUUGAAUUAUUGUGAAGUGGUUAGAAUAUGUAGUGUAGCGGUGAAAUGCAUAGAUAUUACAUAGAAUACCAAUUGCGAAGGCAGAUCACUAACAAUAUAUUGACACUGAUGGACGAAAGCGUGGGGAGCGAACGGGAUUAGAUACCCCGGUAGUCCACGCCGUAAACGAUGGUCACUAGCUGUUCGGAUUUCGGUCUGAGUGGCUAAGCGAAAGUGAUAAGUGACCCACCUGGGGAGUACGUCCGCAAGAAUGAAACUCAAAGGAAUUGACGGGGGCCCGCACAAGCGGUGGAGCAUGUGGUUUAAUUCGAUGAUACGCGAGGAACCUUACCAGGGCUUAAAUGUAGAUUGCAUUAGCUAGAGAUAGCUAUUUCUUCGGACUAUCUACAAGGUGCUGCAUGGUUGUCGUCAGCUCGUGCCGUGAGGUGUCAGGUUAAGUCCUAUAACGAGCGCAACCCCUGUUGUUAGUUGCCAGCAUGUAAAGAUGGGAACUCUAGCAAGACUGCCGGUGCAAACCGAGAGGAAGGUGGGGAUGACGUCAAAUCAUCACGGCCCUUACGUCCUGGGCUACACACGUGCUACAAUGGUAUAGACAAUGAGCAGCCACUUCGCGAGAAGGAGCGAAUCUACAAACUAUAUCUCAGUUCGGAUCGGAGUCUGCAACUCGACUCCGUGAAGCUGGAAUCGCUAGUAGUCGGAUAUCAGCCAUGAUCCGGUGAAUACGUUCCCGGGCCUUGUACACACCGCCCGUCAAGCCAUGGAAGCUGGGAGUGCCUGAAGUCCGUCACCGCAAGGAGCGGCCUAGGGUAAAAUCGGUAACUAGGGCUAAGUCGUAACAAGGUAGCCGUACCGGAAGGUGCGGCUGGAACACCUCCUUUCU
rnacentral:rRNA from 1 species